rnacentral:rRNA from 1 species
UACAGAGGUCCCAAGCGUUGUUCGGAUUCACUGGGCGUAAAGGGUGCGUAGGCGGUCGGGUAAGUCUGACGUGAAAUCUUCAAGCUUAACUUGGAAACUGCGUCGGAUACUAUUCGGCUAGAGGAAUGGAGGGGAGACUGGAAUACUUGGUGUAGCAGUGAAAUGCGUAGAUAUCAAGUGGAACACCAGUGGCGAAGGCGAGUCCCUGGACAUUUCCUGACGCUGAGGCACGAAAGCCAGGGGAGCAAACGGG